rnacentral:misc_RNA from 1 species
AAUUAUCAACUGCCUUGAUGGGCUUUUGCUCCCAGAAGGGUGAAGUUGGAUUUGGAGGAUGAUUUUGCUGGCGGCUCUUCGAUGAGCUUUGUCGGCUCCUCUGGAAUGCAUGAGCCUUCCUGUUCAUCGGUGAAGUGACUCUCCGAUGUGAUAACCAUCUCCGUCGGACGUAGUCGCGUUCGCUUUGGGCACGAAUGGAUCGCAAAACGCGGCUCGCAUCUUUCAGGAUGCGUCCUUGACAA